UACAGAGGUCCCGAGCGUUGUUCGGAUUCACUGGGCGUAAAGGGUGCGUAGGUGGCCUAAAAAGUUUGAUGUGAAAGCUCAGGGCUUAACCCUGAAAUGGCAUUGAAUACUGUUGGGCUGGAGGUUUGGAGGGGGGACUGGGAAUUCUUGGUGUAGCAGUGAAAUGCGUAGAUAUCAAGAGGAACACCAGUGGCGAAGGCGAGUCCCUGGUCCGUCCCUGACGCUGAGACGCGAAAGCGCGGGGAGCGAACGGG
rnacentral:rRNA from 1 species